GACGAACGCUGGCGGCGUGCUUAACACAUGCAAGUCGAACGGAAAGGCCCUGCUUUUGUGGGGUGCUCGAGUGGCGAACGGGUGAGUAACACGUGAGUAACCUGCCCUUGACUUUGGGAUAACUUCAGGAAACUGGGGCUAAUACCGGAUAGGAGCGCCUGCUGCAUGGGGGGGGUUGGAAAGUUUCGGCGGUUGGGGAUGGACUCGCGGCUUAUCAGCUUGUUGGUGGGGUAGUGGCUUACCAAGGCUUUGACGGGUAGCCGGCCUGAGAGGGUGACCGGACACAUUGGGACUGAGAUAAGGCCCAGACUCCUACGGGAGGCAGCAGUGGUGAGUAUUGCACAAUGGGCGGAAGGCUGAUGCAGCAACGCCGCGUGCGGGAUGACGGCCUUCGGGUUGUAAACCGCUUUCGCCUGUGACGAAGCGUGAGUGACGGUAAUGGGUAAAGAAGCACCGGCUAACUACGUG
rnacentral:rRNA from 1 species